rnacentral:rRNA from 1 species
UACAUGGGGUGCAAACGUUGCUCGGAAUCAUUGGGCGUAAAGCGCGCGUAGGCGGUUACUUAAGUUGGAUGUGAAAGCCCUCGGCUUAACCGAGGAAGUGCAUCCAAAACUGAGUAGCUAGAGUACGAAAGAGGGUCGCGGAAUUCCCGGUGUAGAGGUGAAAUUCGUAGAUAUCGGGAGGAACACCGGUGGCGAAGGCGGCGACCUGGGCCGAUACUGACGCUGAGGAGCGAAAGCGUGGGGAGCGAACAGG